UACGAAGGGGGCUAGCGUUGCUCGGAAUCACUGGGCGUAAAGCGCACGUAGGCGGAUUCUUAAGUCAGGGGUGAAAUCCUGGAGCUCAACUCCAGAACUGCCUUUGAUACUGGGAAUCUCGAGUCCGGGAGAGGUGAGUGGAACUGCGAGUGUAGAGGUGAAAUUCGUAGAUAUCGGGAGGAACACCGGUGGCGAAGGCGGCGAUCUGGGUAGAUACUGACGCUGAGGUGCGAAAGCGUGGGGAGCAAACAGG
rnacentral:rRNA from 1 species